GACGAACGCUGGCGGCGUGCCUAAUACAUGCAAGUAGGACGCAGUUGCGAACGGGUGAGUAACGCGUAGGUAACUGCCUAUUAGAGGGGGAUAACUAUUGGAAACGAUAGCUAAUACCGCAUACUAGUAGAUGGACCUGCGUUGUAUUAGCUAGUAGGUAGGGUAAUGGGCUCCCUAGGCGACGAUACAUAGCCGAGCCUGGGAGGUGGUCGGGCACAAUGGGACUGGGGAACGGCCCAGACUCCUAAGGGAGGGAGCAGGAGGGAAACUUCGGAAAUGGGGGGAACCCUGACCGAGCAACGGCGCGGGAGUGAAGAAGGGUUUCGGAUCGUAAAGCUCUGUUGUUAAGGAAGCGGUACUUAACCAGAAAGGGACGGCUAACUACGUGCCAGCAGCCGCGGUAAUUC
rnacentral:rRNA from 1 species